ensembl:rRNA 5S_rRNA 5S ribosomal RNA
GCCUACGGCCAUCCCACCCUGGUAACGCCCGAUCUCGUCUGAUCUCGGAAGCUAAGCAGGGUCGGGCCUGGUUAGUACUUGGAUGGGAGACCUCCUGGAAUACCGGGUGCUGUAGGCU